rnacentral:lncRNA from 1 species
CUCUCCCAGAUGUGUAGCCCUGCUCCUUCCCCAGGCAGCUCCCUUUGCAGCUCUUGCCCACUUGUGGUGUGUGAUAGUGGGAUCUGAAGCCAUCAGGAAGGCUCUUGCCUUGUUCUUCCUCAAAACAAACAAACAAGAAGUCAAGAUGAAGCAUGACUAACUUGGAAAAAAUUAAUAAAAACAGAAACCGGAUUUUUGCAGUGGGGCAGGAGAGGAUGGGCACACCUGCUGCUCUGUUGCAGUGCCACCCAGCUUGCCCAGGGGGCUGCUGCUAAUUCUGUCUUUUUGGGCCUUUGCACGAGCAUUUCUGCCUUGGCUUGUGUUAGGGACAAGGGCUCAGAGUUGUCUGGCAGGCCAAGGAAAGAACCUAAGGUGUAACCUCUGAUUUCUGGCCCCUCUGAUGAUCACAGCAUUUAAGUAGGUUGUUAAUUGGGUUGUUUUUUUUUCUGUUUGUUUGUUUUGUCUAAUGGCAGGUGCUCAUAUAUGAAAAUUUUGGCCAAACAUCUGUUGGGAUGUAAAUACAGAAGGAGUAUUUGCCUGCUGGCUGCAUUACCUGUGUAGGAACAAGAAGGCAGAUGGGAGUGUUCUGUUACGCAUAACAGGACUCAGGCUUCCCUUAAUGACCUCAUCCUGCUAACCCUGAAAAGGAAAUCCAAAGACCAUCUGCCAGAAGGAAACCCAGGUCAAAAUGAAGUGGUGGCAUGCGACAGCAGGUCCCAUGCACAGCAGGAGGAGCAGAACGGAGACAAGUGUUAUGCAGGGUCCUACGCCAAAUUUGGACAGGGGGAAUGUAAGGUCUGAUGGGAUUUCUCUCCUGUCUUCUUUAUGUGCCCACGACAUCGGCUGUUAGAAGUGAUCUAAGAAUUGGGAAUGCUCAGACACAAAAAGAAAAAAGAAUAAUUGACACAAUGUGCAAUCGAUCUCUGGGCACCAGCGUUGCAGGAUAUUACAAGUACGAAUAGCAGACAGUUGGCUGAAAGACUGAGAAGACUGCCAGACACCAAUAUUAAAUGAAAAUGUCAUCUAGGUAAGAUAAAAAUAAAUCCAUCUAGCUUUAUUCA